rnacentral:rRNA from 1 species
UAAUACGUAGGUGACAAGCGUUAUCCGGAAUUACUGGGCGUAAAGCGCACGCAGGCGGUGCGUUAAGUCUGACGUGAAAUCUCCCGGCUUAACUGGGAGGGGUCGUUGGAAACUGGCGGACUUGAGGCGAUGAGAGGGGUGUAGAAUUCCCGGUGUAGUGGUGGAAUGCGUAGAUAUCGGGAGGAAUACCAGUGGCGAAAGCGGCACCCUGGCAUUAGCCUGACGCUCAUGUGCGAAGGCGUGGGGAGCGAACGGGA